AUGGGUAAAAAAUUUAUGUAACCUAACUUUUCGUAUUUUGGGCAUAAUUUCUAAUAAACUAUACUUUCCUAUAUUUAGGAGUUUUGUCUUUCCUCACCAAAUUCUCAUUAAUCAUAAUUCAAGGAAUCAUACGUUUUUCUUUUUCCAAAAUCAACAAUCAAUUUGAUCAACUUCCCAAAUCUCUCUCCAAUUCCAUUUACAAUAUAAGUCUUUGAAUCGAUAUCAGCCAUGUCUGUAAUUUUACCCCCCUCAACCCUUCCUAUAGUCUUCUUUAUUCCUCAAGUAUUCUUCACAUUUAUAAGAAAAAAUUUGCAAUUUGCAAAUAUCAAUCUCAUUCAUGCCAAUCCUCAGUACAAAUUGAGCUCUCAACUUUAUUCAUCUAUUCUGAUUUCUGAGGUUGGGUUUUCGAGUGCUUGGAUAAAGAUCACUUAUUCACUUACCUCAUGAUAUCAUAGAUCCAACAUGAAGUUCGUUUAAAAUGGAGGAGGUCCAGAGAUUGUUUCACAUCAUAAAAGAUUGUGUCCACCCUGAUCCACGAGACAGACCGAUUAUGAAAAAAUGUUGUUGCACGUUUAAGAGAGAUAACAGAAGAAGACUCACUUGAAUACCGACUUAAAAUCUGCUAGUCUUCUAUUAUCAUUGGCAGAUUACAGCAAUGGUAAUAUCCUGCGAAUUGCAGCUCUGAAUUGAACACCCCACCACAUGUGUUGUGUGAGACCGAGUAACAUAUUUGGUUAUCUUAUGGGCCAAGUAUCAUGCAGCACGGGUGUGAGAUUAUCAUUGAUGUAACUCACAGAAAAGGUUUGAUGUUCCUGAGAAGCUGCUUUGUGGCUCUACCUGCAUUUUGGUGAUCUCAGGAUUUUGCUGACUGGAGUAGUGUCACACCAGCUCAAGGACAACCUUGUUGAAAGAUGGUUUAUACUUGCUAGCCUCCAUAAAGUCAUGAAUUGAGUGUAUUAUUGGAGCAAAACUAAUUAUUGAUUAUCUCUCUGCACAGAAACAGGUUUCAGUGCUAUUUCCCCUGCCUUCUUCCGGGGAACUGGAAAGUCCUUCAACAAGGUUCAUUUAGAUAUAUCUAAAUGGCUGACAUUGAUGGUAAUCUUGUCAACCCAGAACAUAUAAUCCCACAAACCCUGUAGAAGAAGAUGAAAUUCGAGGAAAUGAUAAUUUGGAAAACAGAAGAAGAAGGAAGAGGACAGCAUGGUGUUGGGAUGAGCUAGAGGAGAAGGUCAUAAAAGGUGUAAAAAAAAGUUGUUUGUAUGCAUUGUAAGACUCCUUUGACCAUCAAUCCUACUGGUUGCACCACUCAUUUAACUAGACAUUUGGAGAAAUGCAUGAAAAGAAAAAUAUAUAUGAAUAGUCAACAAAAAUUGAAUUUUCAGCCACAAAGAUCUAAUCUUGAUGAUAAUUUUAUGGGGCCUAUUUUAAUUGAUAUGAAAGGGAAGUAUGAUCAUUUUAAAAUGAGGAAAGGAGUUUCUCACUUUGUAUUAAUGGGUGAGCAUGCAUUAAAUAUUGUUGAAGAAGUUGGGUUUAAUUUCAUGAUGAAACUUUUAAACCCCUCAUAUGAAAGGAUAACUCAGAAGGCUAUAAAAAAAAGAGGGUAUGAGUGUUUAUGAGGAUAAGAGGAAUAAAUUAAAGAACUUGUUGCAAAAUGUUAGCAACAUUUUCAUAACUGCAGAUAUAUGUGGAAAUCUAGGCCUCAAAAAAUAGAGUACAUGGUGAUAACUGGUCAUUUUAUUGAUUCUAGCUGGAAAUUGCAAAAGAGAGUGCUUAGUUUUGUUCAUGUUCCCCAUCGACGUCGUGGUGUUGACAUAGCUGAUGCCAUUCACAAGUAUUUAUUAGAGUGGGAAAUUGAGAAUAAAGUGCAAACUAUUACAGUUGAUAAUGCAUCAUACAAUGAUACAUGCUUAAGGAAAUUAAAAGGUAUUUUUUCAAGAACAAGAAAGUUACUCGCUGGAGGAGAAUUAUUUCAUGUGAGAUGUUGUGCUCAUAUAGUGAACUUGUUGGUGCAAGACGGUUUAAGUCAGAUAGAGGAUAUCAUAGAUGAUGUUCGGGAAAGUGUUAAGUUUGUUAACCACUCUGAAUCAAGGCUCCAAACAUUUACAAAUAUUGUACAACAAUUGCAAUUGUGUGGAAGACAAUUAGUUAUUGAUUGCCCCAUACGUUGGAACUCGACUUAUGAGAUGUUAUACCUUGCUUUACAAUUUAAGGAGGCCUUUGCAGAAUAUAAAGAGAGAGACAAUCAAUACACAUGUUUGCCUAGUGAGGAAUCUUGAGAGAAAGUAGAAUUAAUAUGUGAAGUUUUGGAAGUGUUUAAUGUUGUUACUCAUAUUAUUUAUGGGAGUGAUUAUCCAACAGCAAAUUUAUAUCUCCCUCAAGUUUAUAACAUCAAGUUGUUGUUGGAUGAAAAAGCAUUUAGUGAGAAUGAUUUUAUUAGGAGAAUGAGUUUCGAGAUGAAAAAGAAAUUUGAUAAAUAUUGGGGUGAGGUAAAUAUGUUGAUGGUGAUUGCUUCUAUUCUGGAUCCAAGGUGCAAAAUGAAGUUGGUUGAAUUUUCUUUUAAUCAAAUUUAUCCAGGACAGGAAGGUAAAACACAUAUCAAGAGAGCUCAAGAAUUGUUAUACAGUGUUUAUGGCGAGUAUGUUGCAUCUAUGAAUGCUGAAAGUUCAGAUCAGAGUCCAAUUCUUCCAACUAGUCAAUCAAAUUAUGAAAACAGUAUGCACACUCAGUCUAAAGUUUCUGGUUGGAAAAAAUAUCAAGACGAAGUGAGAAGGACACAAAGUAUCCCGGCUUUGAAAUCUGAUAUUGAUGUGUACUUGGAGGAAGACGUUCAUAUAUGCGAGUUGGAAGGGACUUCUUGCUUUGAUGUAUUAGAUUGGUGGAGAACAAAUAACAUGAAGUAUAAGAUUUUGUCCAGAAUGGCUGUUGAGAUUCUUGUUAUCCCCGUAUCUUCAGUAGCUUCAGAGUGUACGUUUAGCGCUGGCGGCAGAGUUAUAGAUCCACAUCGUGCUUCCUUAGCUCCUGAAAUAGUCCAAGCUUUAAUUUGUGGUGGAGAUUGGUUGCGUUCAUGGAGUCAAGAAGGUUAAGAAGCCCAGCAAGGUUAUUCAAAUAUCACUCCCACUUGAUCCUUGAUUACAAGAUUGGGCAUUGGAUUGAACUUAUGACGGGCCCAUGUUGUUGGGAAUUUCAUUUGAAAGCUUGUUGCCGUGAAGUAUGGAGUAAUGAACCUGAUGCAAAAAUAAAGGAGCUUAGCCUAAUGAAUUUUAUUUAUUUCACUUUAUUAGUUAUGUUAGUAUAACUUAUUUUGAAGAUAUUUUGCUCGUAUUUUGUCAGAAUUAUCAAAUAUGAAAACAUUUAUUAUCAUGUUUGAAUAUUUUACAUUAAAGUGUUAAACAUUGAUAUAACAAUUUAUAAGUUUGUUAAUUAGGCUCAAACAU